rnacentral:rRNA from 1 species
GUACACACCGCCCGUCGCUGCCCGGAACUGAGCCAUUUCGAGAAAAAUGGGGACUGAUUGUUUGUGAGCACGCAAGUUCUUCUUGCAGACGGAAACCAUCUUGAUCGGUAUGGCUUGAACCGGGCAAAAGUCGUAACAAGGUUUCCGUAGGUGAACCUGCAGAAGGAUCA